rnacentral:rRNA from 1 species
GACGAACGCUGGCGGCGUGCCUAAUACAUGCAAGUUGAGCGCUGAAGGUUGGUACUUGUACCAACUGGAUGAGCAGCGAACGGGUGAGUAACGCGUGGGGAAUCUGCCUUUGAGCGGGGGACAACAUUUGGAAACGAAUGCUAAUACCGCAUAAAAACUUUAAACACAAGUUUUAAGUUUGAAAGAUGCAAUUGCAUCACUCAAAGAUGAUCCCGCGUUGUAUUAGCUAGUUGGUGAGGUAAAGGCUCACCAAGGCGAUGAUACAUAGCCGACCUGAGAGGGUGAACGGCCACAUUGGGACUGAGACACGGCCCAAACUCCUACGGGAGGCAGCAGUAGGGAAUCUUCGGCAAUGGACGAAAGUCUGACCGAGCAACGCCGCGUGAGUGAAGAAGGUUUUCGGAUCGUAAAACUCUGUUGGUAGAGAAGAACGUUGGUGAGAGUGGAAAGCUCACCAAGUGACGGUAACUACCCAGAAAGGGACGGCUAACUACGUG